rnacentral:rRNA from 1 species
GACGAACCGUGCGAACGUUGUUCGGAAUCACUGGGCUUAAAGGGCGCGUAGGCGGGCUCGCAAGUCAGGGGUGAAAGCCCACGGCUCAACCGUGGAAGUGCCUUUGAUACUGCGGGCCUUGAGGGAGGUAGGGGCGUGCGGAACUUCCGGUGGAGCGGUGAAAUGCGUAGAUAUCGGAAGGAACACCGGUGGCGAAAGCGGCGCGCUGGACCUCUUCUGACGCUGAGGCGCGAAAGCCAGGGGAGCAAACGGG